rnacentral:rRNA from 1 species
GUAGGUGGCAAGCGUUGUCCGGAAUUAUUGGGCGUAAAGCGCGCGCAGGCGGUCCUUUAAGUCUGAUGUGAAAGCCCACGGCUCAACCGUGGAGGGUCAUUGGAAACUGGGGGACUUGAGUACAGAAGAGGAAAGCGGAAUUCCAAGUGUAGCGGUGAAAUGCGUAGAGAUUUGGAGGAACACCAGUGGCGAAGGCGGCUUUCUGGUCUGUAACCGACGCUGAGGCGCGAAAGCGUGGGGAGCAAACAGGAUUAGAUACCCUGGUAGUCCACGCCGUAAACGAUGAGUGCUAAGUGUUAGGGGGUUUCCGCCCCUUAGUGCUGCAGCUAACGCAUUAAGCACUCCGCCUGGGGAGUACGGCCGCAAGGCUG